AGAUAGAAUUGCAGAAAUUACGAGAACAAAUUUAGAUACAGAAAUACAAGAUAUCCUGUUAAAUAUGGAAGAGAGUAGACCAGUAUAAAGUUUAGAUAUCCUGUUAAAUACGGUUAAAAGGGAACUUGACAUAAAAGAUGAAAUAGAGGAUUCAGGAGAAAAUAUGGAUCAAGGAUUUGAACAAGAAUUGAAGAGAAAUCUUAAUCAGAGGAGCAUGGUGGAAUUUCCUUGAAACAAUUGUGAGUAUGUUGCAACCAGAGCUUGUAACCUCAAGAUCCACUUUAAGGGUGAACAUGAAGGAGUGAGACAUCCUUGUCCUAAAUGUGAGUUUACUGCAACCAGCGUAAGAAAACUGAAAAUUCAUAUUGAAAGUAGGACAGAAGCACACCUUCCUGCUUACUUUCACGAAGAAGUGAGAUAUUCUUGUUCCCACUGCGAGUAUGUUGUUUUAACAGCAAGUCACUUGAAGAUUCAUAUUGAAUGUAAACAUAAGGAAGUGAGAUAUCCAUGCUGCCAAUGUGAGUUUAUUGUAACUCGAGCAACUCAUCUGAAGGUUCAGUUUGAAAGUAAACAUGAAGGGGUGAGAUUUCUUGUUCACGAUGUAAGUGUAUUACAACUUCAGUAAGUAAACAUGACUUUGUGAGUUAUCCUUGUUCUAAAUGUGAGUACGUUGCUACUAACAGAAUCAAUCUGAUUAAACAUGUAGAAGUGAGAUUUCCAUGUUCUCAAUGUAUAUGUGCUGCAACCAGAGCAGGUGAACUAAAGAAAUAUGUUGAAGUAUACAUGAAAGGGUCAGGAAUAUUCAGGGCAAAGCAUAGAUGAUUUAUAUAAAGUAUAGAUGAUUGAUGAAACAGUAAUCACAAAUAGCCUCAGGCCAGCCAUUUCCAAAAUGUGGUCUGCCUUUUUUGUACGUUCAAGAUCAUAGGAUAUAUGAAUGAUUGUAUUUAAGAAUAUAAGAUUUUCAUUGUCUUAAAUAAAAUGAAAACUAAUAAAAAUUAUUUAGAUCUCUGGCAAUUUUGACUGAGUUAGGUCAAAAAAGGCUUUUUUUGGAUACUUACUGAAAUUUAUUUAAAGAAACAAUUUUUGACCAUAACUUGUCCAAUUUUCAUUAUUUUUCAAUUCUGUAAAUUGUUUUGAACUCUGGUUUUCAAGCGCCGGUUCAAUGAAUACCAAGAUAUGAAAUUUUCUCAUUUCUUACUUAUGUUUAAACACUGUUUACAAAUAAUAACACCUUGUAUUCCCCCAACUCCCACCUCUUUAACCCUUGUUUCAUCAGUUAAUAGUUGCUUGGUGCUAAAGUCGGCUUGCUAUCUCAAUAUGCAAAAGAAAUACAGCAUUAAGACUUGCAUGGUUUCCCCCAAAAUGAUCUCGAGGCAAGAAAAGAAGUCUUAAGGAGAAAAUAUUUCUCGUGGAUUUGAUCCUCUGCAAUCUGAACCAGAACCAAAGAGAAUAAAGAAGUGUAUAAGAUGGUUAUCAUAAUCCAUGUUCUCAAUGGGAUUUCUCAUGCAGUUACCCUAAAGAUUCAUGUUGAAAUUAAACACGAAGGAGUGAGUUUAUCUUGCCCUGAAUGUGAGUAUUUUGCCAAUCGAGUAAAUCAACUAAAGAUUCAUGUUGAAAAUAAACACGAAGUAGUGAGGUAUCCUUGCCCACAAUGUGAGCAUACAGCAACUACAGCAAGCGGACUGAAGGAGCAUGUUUAGAGGAAACACGAAGGAGUAAGAUAUCCCUGUCCUGAAUGUGAGUUUGCUGCAACUACAGCAGGUAACCUAACGAGGCAUGUUGAAACGAAACACUAAGGAGUGAUAUACCAUUGCCGUCAAUGUAAGUAUGCCGCUACUACAGCAGGUCAUCUAAUGAAACAUGUUUAAAUUAGACUUGAGGUAGUUAGGUAUACUUGUUCUAAAUGUGAGCAUGCUGCAACUACAGCACGACGUGCUUUGAAGGUUAAUGUUGAAAGUAUACAUGAAGGAGUGAGAUACACUUGCCCUGAUUGUGAGUAUAUUGCAACUCAAGCAAGUCAUCUGAAGAUUCAUGUUGAACGUAAACAUGAGGGGGUGAGAUAUCCUUGCCCUAAAUGUGAGUUUGUUGCAACUGCAGCAAGUAUUCUUAAGAUUCAUGUCGAAAAUAAACAUGAAGGAGUGAGAUA